rnacentral:rRNA from 1 species
ACGGAAGGCAGCAGUGGGGAAUCUUCCGCAAUGGGCGCAAGCCUGACGGAGCAACGCCGCGUGAGUGAAGAAGGUCUUCGGAUCGUAAAGCUCUGUUGAGAGGGACGAGAGAUAAUGUCAGGAAAUGGGCAUUAGAGGACGGUACCUUUCGAGGAAGCCACGGCUAACUACGUGCCAGCAGCCGCGGUAAUACGUAGGUGGCGAGCGUUGUCCGGAAUUAUUGGGCGUAAAGGGAGCGCAGGUGGGAUUGCAAGUCAGUCUUAAAAGUGCGGGGCUCAACCCCGUGAUGGGAUUGAAACUGCAGUUCUUGAGUGCAGGAGAGGAAAGCGGAAUUCCUAGUGUAGCGGUGAAAUGCGUAGAGAUCAGGAGGAACACCGGUGGCGAAGGCGGCCUGCUGGGCUUUAACUGACGCUGAGGCACGAAAGCAUGGGGAGCAAACAGGAUUAGAUACCCUGGUA